GGACCAAGGAGUCUAGCAUGUGCGCGAGUCAUUGGGACUCUAACGAAACCUAAAGGCGCAAUGAAAGUGAAGGUCCGCCUAGCGCGGACCGAGGGAGGAUGGGCUGCCGUUAGCGACAGUCCCGCACUCCCUGGGCGUCUCAUUCUCAGCGCGAGAAGAGGCGCACCAAGAGCGUACACGCUGGGACCCGAAAGAUGGUGAACUAUGCCUGGUCAGGACGAAGUCAGGGGAAACCCUGAUGGAGGUCCGUAGCGAUUCUGACGUGCAAAUCGAUCGUCGGAACUGGGUAUAGGGGCGAAAGACUAAUCGAACCAUCUAGUAGCUGGUUCCCUCCGAAGUUUCCCUCAGGAUAGCUGGCGCUCGCAUCUCGCGAGUCUCAUUCGGUAAAGCGAAUGAUUAGAGGCAUUGGGGUCGAAACGGCCUCAACCUAUUCUCAAACUUUAAAUGGGUGAGAUCUCCGGCUUGCUUGAACUGUGAAGCCGCGAGAUAUCGGAUCAGAGUGCCAAGUGGGCCACUUUUGGUAAGCAGAACUGGCGCUGUGGGAUGAACCAAACGCCGAGUUAAAGCGCCUAAAUCGACGCUUAUGGGAUACCAUGAAAGGCGUUGGUAACUUAAGACAGCAGGACGGUGGCCAUGGAAGUCGGA
rnacentral:rRNA from 1 species